rnacentral:tRNA from 1 species
GUCCUGUUAGCUCAGUAGGUAGAGCAUUUCCCUUUUAAGGAAGUGGCCGUUGGUUCGAAUCCAACACAGGACA